AGAGUUUGAUCCUGGCUCAGGAUGAACGCUGGCGGCGUGCUUAACACAUGCAAGUCGAACGAUGAUCCGGUGCUUGCACCGGGGAUUAGUGGCGAACGGGUGAGUAACACGUGAGUAACCUGCCCUUGACUCUGGGAUAAGCCUGGGAAACCGGGUCUAAUACUGGAUAUGACUCAUCACCGCAUGGUGUGUGGGUGGAAAGCUUUAUGCGGUUUUGGAUGGACUCGCGGCCUAUCAGCUUGUUGGUGGGGUAAUGGCUUACCAAGGCGACGACGGGUAGCCGGCCUGAGAGGGUGACCGGCCACACUGGGACUGAGACACGGCCCAGACUCCUACGGGAGGCAGCAGUGGGGAAUAUUGCACAAUGGGCGAAAGCCUGAUGCAGCGACGCCGCGUGAGGGAUGAAUGCCUUCGGGUUGUAAACCUCUUUCAGUAGGGAAGAAGCCCCCUUUUUGGGGGUGACGGUACUUGCAGAAGAAGCGCCGGCUAACUACGUGCCAGCAGCCGCGGUAAUACGUAGGGCGCAAGCGUUAUCCGGAAUUAUUGGGCGUAAAGAGCUCGUAGGCGGUUUGUCGCGUCUGCUGUGAAAGCCCGGGGCUUAACCCCGGGUCUGCAGUGGGUACGGGCAGACUGGAGUGCAGUAGGGGAGACUGGAAUUCCUGGUGUAGCGGUGAAAUGCGCAGAUAUCAGGAGGAACACCGAUGGCGAAGGCAGGUCUCUGGGCUGUUACUGACGCUGAGGAGCGAAAGCAUGGGAGCGAACAGGAUUAGAUACCCUGGUAGUCCAUGCCGUAACGUUGGGCACUAGGUGUGGGGGACAUUCCACGUUUUCCGCGCCGUAGCUAACGCAUUAAGUGCCCCGCCUGGGGAGUACGGCCGCAGGCUAAAACUUAAAUGAAUUGACGG
rnacentral:rRNA from 1 species